rnacentral:rRNA from 1 species
GCAUCGACCAGAGGGAAAAGGAGCAAUCCGCUUUGAGAUGGCCUCGCGUCCGAUUAGCUAGUUGGUGAGGUAAUGGCCCACCAAGGCAACGAUCGGUAGCCGGACUGAGAGGUUGAACGGCCACAUUGGGACUGAGACACGGCCCAGACUCCUACGGGAGGCAGCAGUGGGGAAUACUGCACAAUGGGGGAAACCCUGAUGCAGCGACGCCGCGUGGAGGAAGAAGGUCUUCGGAUUGUAAACUCCUGUUGUUGAGGAAGAUAAUGACGGUACUCAACAAGGAAGUGACGGCUAACUACGUGCCAGCAGCCGCGGUAAAACGUAGGUCACAAGCGUUGUCCGGAAUUACUGGGUGUAAAGGGAGCGCAGGCGGGAAGACAAGUUGGAAGUGAAAUCUAUGGGCUCAACCCAUAAACUGCUUUCAAAACUGUUUUUCUUGAGUAGUGCAGAGGUAGGCGGAAUUCCCGGUGUAGCGGUGGAAUGCGUAGAUAUCGGGAGGAACACCAGUGGCGAAGGCGGCCUACUGGGCACCAACUGACGCUGAGGCUCGAAAGUGUGGGUAGCAAACAGGAUUAGAUACCCUGGUAGUCCACACCGUAAACGAUGAUUACUAGGUGUUGGAGGAUUGACCCCUUCAGUGCCG